UACGUAGGUGACGAGCGUUGUCCGGAUUUACUGGGCGUAAAGAGCGCGCAGGCGGUCGUUCAAGUCGAGUGUGAAAGCCCCCCGGCUCAACUGGGGAGGGUCACUCGAUACUGAUCGACUCGAAGGCAGGAGAGGGUAGUGGAAUUCCCGGUGUAGUGGUGAAAUGCGUAGAUAUCAGGAGGAACACCGGUGGCGAAGGCGGAUCUCUGGGCCUUACCUGACGCUCAGGCGCGAAAGCUAGGGGAGCGAACAGG
rnacentral:rRNA from 1 species